rnacentral:lncRNA from 1 species
UAGGUGCAUGAUGUGGAUGAGGUGAACCAACGUGUAAUCUCAAUUUGUAAUGACCUUGAACUACAUUUAUGCGGGCUUUUAAUCCCUCAUCUAACCUGAUGCCGAUGAAUGAUUAUUAGUGUCUUAUAUGUUUUCUACAUUAUGAUUUCUAAUUCCCAUGGUCAUGUUGUCACACUGUACCUCAUUGAGCUCUCUACUGGCAGCACUUAUUGGUAUGUAAAAUGCAACUCAUUCUGUAUGCUUCUGUUGGACAUGAAAUGAAGCUUGGUGGUGGUUUUCUCGCUCAAAAUUUGUCUUUCUUGGCAUACUGUUUGGUUGUCAUAGAGUGGCAAAUUUUAUGUUGCAGUGAUAAAAAAUAAGUAUUUAAGAAUCUCAUGAACCUUUGCAUUUAUUAUUUCCACGGCUAAAAUUGUCUUCUAGUAAUUUUUGGGAUUGACACCACAUGGUAGACUUUACAAUUUUGAUUUAUGGUGGUUGUUUCUGUUUUGCCUUGCAAUUUGCGAGCUAUAGUGCAUGUGUCCUAUGUCUGGCUUCUCAUUCAUAGACUAUUAAGUUGUCGGCAGUGAUAAAUGUAAAAUAUGUUUGAAAUGUUGAAUGUUUUGCAUGGUUUCAUAUUAAAACUGGGAAAAGGGACAUGAGGAUAUGUUGGUUAGUUACCUGAAAAAAGAGCAGUUAGUUGGACAUAAGUUAAAGGGGAAAAGGUUGAACGCUUCUUUUUUUUAUUGAUGUUGUGUUCCUUGAAAUUUUGUAAUGUGACACUGUUGUUGAUUUAUGAAGGUCAGACUGCUGGUGUGGAUGCCAGUUUCAUAGGGGGGUUUUUUUGCUACCAAAGAAAUUUGGGACAUAUAUUCAAACAGUAACAAUUGUCGUAAAAUUGGACUGUAUAAUCUCUUUUCCUUUUUGUUGUGAGCCAAAGUUGCUAAUCCUUAAGUUUCUCGAAAUUUCAUCGUCAUUUUUUGCUUAAUUGUCCUACACUGCUGUGGUAUUUUUGGGUUCGUGCCCUAAAGCUUUUCAUUCCUGAUUGGACAACAAGAUUAAAUUUAUGCUCUAUUUUUCCCCUUUUGUGAGAAACAAACUUUAAUUUUAGAUUUCCUUGAUAUCACAAAUGGAACAGUAGUUUUAUUUCUUAUUUUGUGUUGUAGAAUUCCAUGCUUGAACUUCAUAAUAGUUCAGGGAUGAUUCAUGUGGCAAAAGGUGUUGAGGAUCUCUGUAAAAUCUUGUGGAAUUUGACAACAUGGUCCUGAAUUUGCAGUGUGGUAUAUGGUGAAGAUUUCCAGCUUUCGUGGAUUAUGUGAUUUAUGGCGUAGAACAGUUUUUUCUUUAACGCGGCCUCUGCAUCUGCUUCAUUGUACUUUUCUUGGCUGAUAUGUUUUGAAUCUCGAGUGAGACCGUGAGAUGGGAUAAUGAGCAAUAUGUAUAUUGUAUGGUGCUAUUUCUUGGUCAGCAGCUUUAACAAAAUGUUUAUUGGAGCCUGAAAAAGGAAGCACAGUUACCUUUCUAUUCGCCUUCAGCAUUUAGAACUGAGGAGAGUUCGCGGACUCAAGAGAUUGGAAAGAGCUCUCAAGAUUUUUUUAGGUAAAAUGAUGUGUGAAUAAACGACUGCGGUAUAUUUUUACACGUGAAAUGUGCAUCAGCUAAUUAAUGCCCUCUUCUAACAUUUAUACAUGAAUAAUUAGAUAUCUUGGGCACUUUUUUUACAGUAAUAGAUGUUACAUUCUUGACAGAACUAAGGUGUAAGAAUAAAGUAUAGCACUUUGGGGAUGGAUGGGAUCUUGUUUAUACGAAAAUACGGCAUCCUUGUUGGACGUCUUCCAGGGUUUUAAUCAUUCUUUUAUUUAUAGAUCUUCGACCUUAUUUGAGUUACUUUUAUAUACUUGCAGGGUGUCCAAUCUUUUUGGUCUAAAUCCCUACAAACGAUUCAUCUGUGGGUUUCUUUUUUGGAAGUUUUUCUAUGAAAUGGCAGCCAGAAGCUUCAUGAAACUCGUCCGGUAGACUGAAGAAUUUUGCUACUGCUCAAAAUAACCAAGGUUGAGGCCAGCUGGUGAAACUAUGAGGCGAAAUGCUUCAUCUUCCAGAGUGAAACAGGAAGCAGAAACAUUUCCUAUGAGAACCUCCUUUGUCUCUUAAACGCGUGGACAAGAGACAUAAUUCUGUUUUAAAUUAAGAUGGUUUUUAUAUGUUCUUCACAGCAUGUUAACAUCUAACGGUACAUUUUAUUUUGCUCAGGGAAUCAUAAGGUGAAAGUUUCUCCGUGGACUUCAAUGGUAAUAACAUUCACAUGCAAUUCUCUCGGACGGGUUGAUGCAGCAACAGAUGAAUCUGGGCAGUGUAUGAAGAAUUGGAGAUAAUAAAAGAUUUUGGGAUUCUGUGUUUGAAAUUUCAUGAAUUCUUCUUGCUGUGUACAAAACUCGUAUCAGAAUGGGAUCCAAUUACUUUAUAUCCCAAAGAAUGGGAAUCUCAUUAAUAAAUUUCACUUAACAUUUUUUAUUUUUCUAAUGCAGUGUGACUCCGUCUAGCUGAAAUGGCAAGAAAAGUAGAUGUUUUGUUGAAAUUUUUAACGUCUAUCCCCUACUAAAAAUUUAUAGUAAAAAUAAAAUUUGAAUUAUGGACGAGAUUCAUUGAAGAUGAAA